rnacentral:rRNA from 1 species
UACGGAGGGUGCAAGCGUUGUUCGGAAUUAUUGGGCGUAAAGGGUAGGUAGGUGGUCUCGUUUGUCCAGGGUGAAAUCCCGGAGCUUAACUCCGGACGUGCCUUGGAAACGGCGAGACUAGAGUCUUGGAGAGGAUUGCAGAAUUUCAGGUGUAGCGGUGAAAUGCGUAGAGAUCUGAAGGAAUAUCGGUGGCGAAGGCGGCAAUCUGGACAAGUACUGACACUGAACUACGAAAGCGUGGGUAGCAAAC